rnacentral:miRNA from 1 species
AGACGACUCAAGGGGGCAUCG